ensembl:lncRNA
CAGUUGCUCCUGAAACAGCCAUUUUGCUUUAGCAACUCCUUUCACAAGCUCCUGUUGGCAAGGCUUCCCCUAUCUUAUCUCCCAUCUUCAGCAGAGGCCGAACCUGUGUGCCAAGGGAUACAAAGUUACAAGGAAGGAUGAAGGUCGACUAGAUCUCCCGACAUACCCUGCUAGACCUCCGUUUCCAAACUUAAGAGCCAGAAUGGUGAUCCCAAGAGAUUUUAAACGCUCCCUCUAGGAUGCCACAUUUGACCCCCUCUCAAGUCAAGCUGGAACCUAAAUCCUGCACACAGCACCAAGGAGCCCCCUGAGAGCAGCUCAAAGAAGUCCUCAAGAACUCCUGAUAUAAUCCCAUCAUCCUGUGAGGCAAGUGCUGGGCCUAAAGGCCUUCUCCUGCACAGUGGAGGUUUCCCUAGCUCCUGGUAGAACAUGUGACACACCACCACAGUGCCUGGCAAGCAGGGCACUGAAGAAGCCUCAUCAUUCUAUCUUAUUGUUGCUUCUUUGUUACCUUUAC